UACGUAGGGGGCAAGCGUUGUCCGGAAUUAUUGGGCGUAAAGAGCGCGUAGGCGGUCCGAUAAGUCGGCUGUGAAAGUCAGGGGCUCAACCCUUGAAAGCCGGCCGAUACUGUCGGACUAGAGUCCGGAAGAGGCAAGUGGAAUUCCCGGUGUAGCGGUGAAAUGCGCAGAUAUCGGGAGGAACAUCAGUGGCGAAAGCGACUUCCUGGACCAGUACCGACGUUCAGGCACGAAAGCGUGGGGAGCAAACAGG
rnacentral:rRNA from 1 species